rnacentral:lncRNA from 1 species
AUAAAAUGUAAAUGACACAAGAUGUAUUGUGGUUCACCCCAAGGUUUGGGCUACGUCCACACUAAUUAUGUAUUUAUUUGAGGGAAUAGAGAGGGAGAGGGUGAGAGCUUCUGAGAGUUUCUGAGGGUGAGAGAGGGGAUCUCAGGCCUAGGAAUUGGUCUCUCCUUAAUUGUGAGGAUGAGGAGUCCUUUUAUAGAAUAAGGACUCUUCACUUAUUACAUAUUUGCCCCUUCCCUUAUUGCAUAAUUACAUUUGAGUCCCCCGAGUAUUUAUACGAGGUCUAAAUACGGAGGCCCUAAAUAUGGUAUAAACAGUAGUCCCCCAAGUCUUCAGUCAAGAGAGUCUUUUGACUGGAGACUUGAAAUUCAGUCCAUGUGUGGGCC